GCUACGGUAGAUCAAUGGUAGAUCACAUCUAGCACGUAUCCGCUCAGAGAGAACGUACACAAUGAGACCAUGGUUCGAAUCCAUGUCAUGGCA